UCCGGCUCCGGCUCCGGUUGUGGCUCACGGUUCAGGCUCGGCUCCCGCCACCGCGGCCUCGCCGACUCCUCGCCCGCUCCGCGGCUCAUGAGAAAACGCGUUGUCUGGCAACGCACCUAUCGCGCACGCGCAGUGGCACGGCGCCGCCGCUGAGGCGUCGCGCUGUCGCCUAGCAACAAGGAUGCGGCGCAUGCGCGUAGCGGUCCGGUUGCUUUGCGGCUCCGCGUCGCCAGGCAACGGCACGUCCGUGCGUGCGUCUAACGCCCUCCGCAAGAGUUGCUGCGCAUGCGCAGUAGAGCCAAGGGGGAUGCAGGAGGAUCGCGCGUAAGGGAGGACAACCACUGAGCCCGGACCCUUGAAUCACCAUUGAAGAUGUUCUGGCUCCUAGUCAAGUUAUUCCUCAUUGUUCAGCUGCAAAUGGUCUUGAAAAUAUUGGGCUUCCAUGCUUUUGGGAGACAACUCUGGUCAUCAGCUCUGAUAGUUGCCCUGUCCUUGCAGAGGGUGGUGCUGCAGAACAGUGCUGUGAAAAGGAGCACACGGAGAAACACAGUCCGGAGGGAAACUGUGCAGAGGCACACGAGGAGAUCAACGAGGAUUGCGAAAAAUCUAAAGAGAUUGAGACAGCGGGUUCUGCAUUAUCAGCUGACCUGUGGCUGCAGGUUUCAUGUAGUGGAUAGAAGAGACUGCAUCCAUUGUGUGCAGCAUCAGACCCUCUCACCACCACCACGUGCACUGGGGUCACGUGCACUGCACAGGGUGAGACGUAUCUGUUUUGAGAAUCGUUGAGAGAAUGUAUAGAGACAAGAAUGGCUGUAAGCAGCAGGUCAACUGUGAGCCCAGAUUUGACAGGAUAAAACA